GAUGAACGCUGGCGGCGUGCCUAAUACAUGCAAGUCGAGCGAACGGACGAGAAGCUUGCUUCUUUGAUGUUAGCGGCGGACGGGUGAGUAACACGUGGAUAACCUACCUAUAAGACUGGGAUAACUUCGGGAAACCGGAGCUAAUACCGGAUGAUAUUUUGAACCGCAUGGUUCAAAAGUGAAAGACGGUCUUGCUGUCACUUAUAGAUGGAUCCGCGCUGCAUUAGCUAGUUGGUAAGGUAACGGCUUACCAAGGCAACGAUGCAUAGCCGACCUGAGAGGGUGAUCGGCGACACUGGAACUGAGACACGGUCCAAACUCCUACGAGAGGCAGCAGUAGGGUAUCUUCGGCAAUAGGCGAAAGCCUGACGGAGCAACGCCGCGUGAGUGAUGAAGGUCUUCGGAUCGUAAAACUCUGUUAUUAGGGAAGAACAUAUGUGUAAGUAACUGUGCACAUCUUGACGGUACCUAAUAAGAAAGCCACGGCUAACUACGUG
rnacentral:rRNA from 1 species